rnacentral:rRNA from 1 species
UACCAGCUCUCCGAGUGGUAGGGAUGAUUAUUGGGCUUAAAGCGUCCGUAGCCGGCUUAGCAAGUCUCCUGUUAAAUUCAGCGACCUAAUCGUUGAGCCGCGGGAGAUACUACUAGGCUAGGAGGCGGGAGAGGUCGACGGUACUUCUGGGGUAGGGGUGAAGUCCUAUAAUCCCGGGAGGACCACCAGUGGCGAAGGCUGUCGACUAGAACGCGCUCGACGGUGAGGGACGAAAGCUGGGGGAGCGAACCGGAUUAGAUACCCGGGUAGUCCCAGCUGUAAACGAUGCGGGCUAGGUGUUGGGGUGGCUACGUGCCACUUCAGUGCCGCAGGGAAGCCAUUAAGCCCGCCGCCUGGGGAGUACGGCCGCAAGGCUGAAACUUAAAGGAGUUGGCGGGGGAGCACCACAAGGCGUGAAGCUUGCGGUUC